UACGUAGGGACCAAGCGUUGUUCGGAUUUACUGGGCGUAAAGGGCGCGUAGGCGGCUUGACAAGUCACUUGUGAAAUCUCCGGGCUUAACUCGGAACGGCCAAGUGAAACUGUCAUGCUAGAGUGCAGAAGGGGCAAUCGGAAUUCUUGGUGUAGCGGUGAAAUGCGUAGAUAUCAGGAGGAACACCUGAGGUGAAGACGGGUUGCUGGGCUGACACUGACGCUGAGGCGCGAAAGCCAGGGGAGCAAACAGG
rnacentral:rRNA from 1 species